GAUUAAGUUAUUAAGGGCGCACGGUGGAUGCCUUGGCACUAGAAGCCGAUGAAGGACGUUACUAACGACGAUAUGCUUUGGGGAGCUGUAAGUAAGCUUUGAUCCAGAGAUUUCCGAAUGGGGAAACCCAGCAUGAGUUAUGUCAUGUUAUCGAUAUGUGAAUACAUAGCAUAUCAGAAGGCACACCCGGAGAACUGAAACAUCUUAGUACCCGGAGGAAGAGAAAGAAAAUUCGAUUCCCUUAGUAGCGGCGAGCGAAACGGGAAGAGCCCAAACCAACAAGCUUGCUUGUUGGGGUUGUAGGACACUCUAUACGGAGUUACAAAGGACGACAUUAGACGAAUCAUCUGGAAAGAUGAAUCAAAGAAGGUAAUAAUCCUGUAGUCGAAAAUGUUGUCUCUCUUGAGUGGAUCCUGAGUACGACGGAGCACGUGAAAUUCCGUCGGAAUCUGGGAGGACCAUCUCCUAAGGCUAAAUACUCUCUAGUGACCGAUAGUGAACCAGUACCGUGAGGGAAAGGUGAAAAGCACCCCGGAAGGGGAGUGAAAUAGAACCUGAAACCGUGUGCUUACAAGUAGUCAGAGCCCGUUAAUGGGUGAUGGCGUGCCUUUUGUAGAAUGA
rnacentral:rRNA from 1 species